rnacentral:lncRNA from 1 species
GAUUGCAUGUGAUUGUCUUUUAUUUCUGAGCGACUUUACAUUCGAUGCCUGCGACUGUCUUCACAGGUGAUAGUAUUGAAUACAAAGGCUAACGAUUCCAGUUCCCGAACGGCCGACACGAACAAUUCAGCUCGAAAUAUAUCCCCUUCAAAUUGCUUUGUUCCCGGUAAAACUUCGCCAGCGUAUAGAAUAAAUACCCAUCUUCGAACAUACAAGGAAUUUUAACACGUC